CAACACCUCUGGCUGGGGCUGCUGGAGUGAGAGCGAGGGCGAGGAGCUGGUGCUGGGCGUACUGUGAGGGUGCUAAGGACGCGGGCUGGAGCCGACCGUCCUGAAUUAGGGAGCCGGAGGACUUGCCGCAAGAGGUCACACAGCCAACUAGAGACUCACACCCGUGCCAGUCCCCAAAUGCCCAAACUCCGUUCUGUCUGAUGAGCCAAGCUGAUUUGUCGGGAUCGUGGAGGGGGUGCUAAGGAGGAGGUGAACGGCAGAGAGAAGAGUGGGGGUUCCUCCUCUUUCACCUUCCUCCUCUGAAGGCAGAGGCUGAGCCUGCACGAUGAACAAGAUCCUUAGGCACCGCCAGGGGGAGACAGAGGCCAGACUAAGCGCUUGCUUGUAAAGGAAAAGUGGUGCUGAGUCCAAAGAGACCUGUUCCUAAGGCAGCUGUGAGGGAAUUGAUCAGUACAUCUCCAGAGACACCUCCUACCCCGUGCACUGUCCAAAUGGGGACAAGGCCCUGUGGCCCUAAUGCAAGUCAGGGUAGCCCUCAGGAAUCACUGGCACCGAGUUCAUGGUUGGGACUCCAUUUCUGGGCUCUGUGGGCAGAAUGCUCCCUGAACAUAACCCUCUCUGUUUCUGAGCUAAGAUGUGCCCCCAGAAGGAGUGGCUUUUCUUGCCGCUUCCAAAUAAAAAUCUCAUAAUGGUCA